rnacentral:rRNA from 1 species
GACAGAGGGUGCAACCGUUGCUCGGAAUCACUGGGCGUAAAGGGCGUGUAGGCGGGGAGGAUAGUCAGAUGUGAAAUCCCCGGGCUCAACCUGGGAAUGGCAUUCGGGACUGCAAGGCUGGAGUGCGGCAGAGGAGACUGGAAUUCCUGGUGUAGCAGUGAAAUGCGUAGAUAUCAGGAGGAAUACCGAUGGCGAAGGCAGGUCUCUGGGCUGACACUGACGCUCAUGCACGAAAGCGUGGGGAGCAAACAGG